UUUAUUUUGAAAAGGUAGUUCAGAAAACCAAAAGCUGGAUCGAUAAAAUGGCAGGUGUGCCUCGUUGUUGAAUGAAAAACAUUAGCUUCAGUUGUUUGGCUGAUGAGGGCACAAGCAUAUCCCCUGAAGGUGGUCGAGACUUUCAACUGCUGUUUUCAGGUUUAAUUGAAACUUCCCUAAACAACACAGUAAGAGCUUGUGCUGCUACAACAUAAAACUGUUCCUUUGUGAAGUUAAAGAUGCAUAACACUCUCACGCUGUGUUCACACUUAUCACAGCAUGUAUGGAGACGGAAAUAAAGUAUUGUGAACCAUCAGUAAAAGAGAGUCAGACCAUCAUUCAGCUGGGGAUAAUAUAAGUGGUACAAUUCUUCAUAUAUGUGCAUGCAGAAGUUUUCCUCAUCCACGUGUUUAUUUUAGGCAUAUUGAGGUAUCUCUAGCCUUAUCAUCACCAGGCUAAUGCCUUCUUCAGAGUACAGGCUCCAGAUGUGCGUGCAUUAUAAAUAGAUAGACAUGAUGGAAAUUAGAACUUCAAAAGACGACCUUUGAAUUUCUAUAACACAAACCUGUUUAAGUACUGUUGGCAGCUCAGAUAAUAAAACAAAUGCAGCACCAGUUCAGUGUUGGUUAUGUAAUGGAAAAUUUUACUGCGCUUGUAUUAUCUCUGCUUGUGCAUACUAUUUCUGUGUGUGUGUGAAACUCAGAGCCACAUAUCUGCAGAAUGCUUGUCUUCUCCACCAAGACCCCAAGGAGGCCAUCAGCAUGUGUUUGUGUCUUAUCUCAUGUGAUUUCACUAUUCACUCAGUUCGGACACAUAGUUCACAUAGGCACACACAACUAACAUAGUUUUCCCUCACACACACACACGCAUGCACACACACGCCUGCAACUUUUUUAUUGUUCAUUCCCUCUGCAGAAUGCUCAUCGCACACUGUAUUACUCUGACCUUCCUUGCAAGGAAUAAAAUCCUCCUAAAAGAC